rnacentral:rRNA from 1 species
CAAUAGCGUAUAUUUAAGUUGCUGCAGUUAAAGAGCUCGUAGUUGGAUUUCGGGUGGGAAUGGCCGGUCCGCCGUUUCGGUGUGCACUUGCUACGCCCACCUUGCUGCCGGGGACGUGCUCUUGAGUUCACGCUCGGGACACGGAGUCGGCGAGGUUACUUUGAGUAAAUUAGAGUGUUCAAAGCAGGCCUACGCUCUGAAUACAUUAGCAUGGAAUAACACGAUAGGACUCUGGCCUAUCUUGUUGGUCUGUAGGACCGGAGUAAUGAUUAAGAGGGACAGUCGGGGGCAUUCGUAUUUCAUUGUCAGAGGUGAAAUUCUUGGAUUUAUGAAAGACGAACUACUGCGAAAGCAUUUGCCAAGGAUGUUUUCAUUAA